GAUGAAUGCUGGCGGCGUGCUUUACACAUGCAAGUCGAACGGUGAAGGUGGAGCUUGCUCCGCCGGAUCAGUGGCGAACGGGUGAGUAACACGUGGGCAACCUGCCCCUAACUUUGGGAUAACUACUCGAAAGAGUAGCUAAUACCGGAUAUGAAGUCUGUAGGCAUCUACGGACUUGGAAAGUUUUUCGGUUAGGGAUGGGCCCGCGGCCUAUCAGCUUGUUGGUGAGGUAGUGGCUCACCAAGGCGACGACGGGUAGCCGGCCUGAGAGGGCGACCGGCCACACUGGGACUGAGACACGGCCCAGACUCCUACGGGAGGCAGCAGUGGGGAAUAUUGCGCAAUGGGCGAAAGCCUGACGCAGCAACGCCGCGUGCGGGAUGAAGGCCUUCGGGUUGUAAACCGCUUUCAGCAGGGAAGAAGCGAAAGUGACGGUACCUGCAGAAGAAGCACCGGCUAACUACGUGCCAGCCGCCGCCGUAA
rnacentral:rRNA from 1 species